UACGUAGGGUGCGAGCGUUGUCCGGAAUUAUUGGGCGUAAAGAGCUUGUAGGCGGUUUGUCGCGUCUGCUGUGAAAAUCCGGGGCUUAACCCCGGGCCUGCAGUGGGUACGGGCAGACUAGAGUGCGGUAGGGGAGACUGGAAUUCCUGGUGUAGCGGUGAAAUGCGCAGAUAUCAGGGGGAACACCGGUGGCGAAGGCGGGUCUCUGGGCCGUAACUGACGCUGAGGAGCGAAAGCGUGGGGAGCGAACAGG
rnacentral:rRNA from 1 species